rnacentral:rRNA from 1 species
AUUGAACGCUGGCGGCGUGCUUAACACAUGCAAGUCGAACGGAGUGGCGAACGGGUGAGUAACACGUGGGUGACCUGCCCUGCACUUCGGGCUAAGCCUGGGAAACUGGGUCUCAUACCGGUUAGCGUGGGAUGGGGCAGCGGCCUAUCAGCUUGUUGUUGGGGUACUGGCCUACCAAGGUCGUGACGGGUAGCAGGUCUGAGAGGUUGGACGGCCACAUUGGGACUGAGACACGACUCAGACUCCUACGGGAGGCAGCAGUGGUGAAUAGUGCGCAAUGGGCGGAAGCAUGAUGCAGCGACGCCGCGUGGGGGAUGACGGCCUUCGGGUUGUAAACUCCUUUCACCAUCGACGCGGUAGAUGGAUAAGAAGCACCGGCUAACUACGUGCCAGCAGCCGCGGUAAUAC